rnacentral:rRNA from 1 species
CACGAGUUUGAUCCUGGCUCAGAUUGAACGCUGGCGGCAUGCUUUACACAUGCAAGUCGAACGGUAACAGGCCUUCGGGUGCUGACGAGUGGCGAACGGGUGAGUAAUGCAUCGGAACGUGCCCAAUCGUGGGGGAUAACGUAGCGAAAGUUACGCUAAUACCGCAUAAGCCCUGAGGGGGAAAGUGGGGGACCGCAAGGCCUCACGCGAAUGGAGCGGCCGAUGUCAGAUUAGCUAGUUGGUGGGGUAAAGGCCCACCAAGGCGACGAUCUGUAGCGGGUCUGAGAGGAUGAUCCGCCACACUGGGACUGAGACACGGCCCAGACUCCUACGGGAGGCAGCAGUGGGGAAUUUUGGACAAUGGGCGCAAGCCUGAUCCAGCCAUGCCGCGUGCGGGACGAAGGCCUCGGUUGUAACCGCUUUCAGCCGGAACGAAUACGCCGUUUUAAUUACAGACGGUGGAUGACGGUACCGGAAGAAGAAGCACCGGCUAACUACGUG